rnacentral:rRNA from 1 species
UAGUCCUAGCAGUAAACGGUGCACGUUUGGUUUGGGGGGAUUCGACCCCUUCCGAGCCGGAGCUAACGCGUUAAACGUGCCGCCUGGGGAGUACGGUCGCAAGAUUAAAACUCAAAGAAAUUGACGGGGACCCGCACAAGCGGUGGAGUAUGUGGCUUAAUUCGAUGCAACGCGAAGAACCUUACCUGGGCUUGACAUGCAUUUCUAAGCACGUGAAAGCGUGUGAGUCUGCUUCGGUAGAUAACUUGCACAGGUGCUGCAUGGCUGUCGUCAACUCGUGCCGUGAGGUGUUGGGUUAAGUCCCGCAACGAGCGCAACCCCUAUUUUCAGUUGCCAGUAUGUAAUGAUGGGGACUCUGGAAAGACUGCCGGCGUAAGCCGCGAGGAAGGUGGGGAUGACGUCAAAUCAUCAUGGCCUUUAUGCCUAGGGGCUACACACGUGCUACAAUGGCGGGUACAGAGGGUCGCGAAGCCGCGAGGUGGAGCCAAUCCCAGAAA